ACAUCAUGAUUUAGGAAUUGAGCUAGCUUACCAUUAAACCUCUCCCAAGCUUCAAAUAAUGGCUCUCUAUUUAUUUGUCAAAAAUUCACAAUCUCAUCUCGCAAUU
rnacentral:snoRNA from 1 species